CAGUCGCCGCGGUAAUACGUAGGGUGCGAGCGUUAAUCGGAAUUACUGGGCGUAAAGCGUGCGCAGGCGGUUAUAUAAGACAGAUGUGAAAUCCCCGGGCUCAACCUGGGACCUGCAUUUGUGACUGUAUAGCUAGAGUACGGUAGAGGGGGAUGGAAUUCCGUGUGUAGCAGUGAAAUGCGUAGAUAUGCGGAGGAACACCGAUGGCGAAGGCAAUCCCCUGGACCUGUACUGACGCUCAUGCACGAAAGCGUGGGGAGCAAACCGGAUUAGAUACCCCUGUAGUCCCUGUCUCUUAUAU
rnacentral:rRNA from 1 species